UCCGAUUGAUCUUGCCGGUGGCUUUCCUUGUUUUUGAAGAUUAAGCCAUGCAUGUCUAAGUAUGAACUGGUUUAAGGUGAAACUGCGUACGGCUCAUUACAUCAGCUAUAACUUUCUUUGAUCAUAAAUUCUAAAUGGAAUAACCGAGGAAAAGCCUGGGCUAAUACAUGCGACAAUUCCGGUAGUAAUAUCGGAAUGCUUUUAUUAGAUCAAAACCUUCUAGUUCUUUAACCGGAACUGUUUGUUGGUGACUCUAAAUAACUUUGUGUUGAUCGUAUGACCCUUGUGUCGACGACAUAUCUUUCAAGUGUCUGACUUAUCAACUUUAGACGGUACAUUAUAUGUCUACCGUGGUUGUAACGAGUACAGAGAAUCAGGGUUUGGUUCUGGAGAGGCCGCCUGAGAAACGGCGACCACUUCCAAGGAAGGCAGCAGGCGCGCAAAUUACCCACUCUCAAAACGAGGAGGUAGUGAAGAGAAAUAACGAUGUUAGUCUUAUUUAGGCUGACAAUCGGAAUGGGAACACUGCAAACAGGUUAUCGAUUAACAAUUGGAGGGCAAGUCUGGUGCCAGCAGCCGCGGUAAUUCCAGCUCCAAUAAGGAAAACUAAAGUUGCUGUGUUUAAAAAGCUCGUAGUUGAAUUUCGGGUAUUUGUUGCUAGCUGGUCUAACUGGCCAUGUUGGUUAACAGAUCCUCAUUUGCUGGACGGCUGGCGAUGAUCUUUAUCGAUUGUCGUCAGUUGCCAGAACGUUUACUUUGAGAAAAUUAGAGUGCUAAAAGCAGGCUUUCGCCUAUAUAUAUUGCAUGGAAUAAUGAAAUAAGAUCUCGAUUUUAUUUCGUUGGUUUUAGAAAUUGAGAUAAUGAUUAAUAGGAUCAGAGGGGGGCGUACGUACUGUGGUGUGAGAGGUGAAAUUCUUGGAUCGCCACAGGACGAACAGCAGCGAAGGCGUUCGCCAAGAAUGUUUUCAUUAAUCAAGAACGAAAGUUUGAGGCUCGAAGACGAUUAGAUACCGUCCUAGUUCAAACCAUAAACGUUGCCAACUGUCUUUUAGAUGCGGUUAUUUAUAUGACUCAUCUGGCGGAUCUCGAGAAAUCUAAGUUUUUAGGUUCCGGGGGAAGUAUGGUUGCAAAGCUGAAACUUAAAAGAAUUGACGGAAGGACACACAAGAAGUGGAGCCUGUGGCCUAAUUUGACUCAACACGGGAAACCUUACUCGGCCAGGACACUUUUAGGAUUGACAGAUUGAGAGCUCUUUCUUGAUUAGGUGGGUGGUGGUGCAUGGUCGUUCGUAGUUCGUGGAGCGAUUUGUCUGAUUAAUUUCGAUAACGAACGAGACUCCGGCUUAAACCGUUGUGUAGAAAAGCACAGUUUAUCAUCACUAGAUCUAUUGUUUUUU
rnacentral:rRNA from 1 species